AUUGAGCGCUGGCGGCAUGCUUUACACAUGCAAGUCGAACGGUAACAGGUUAAGCUGACGAGUGGCGAACGGGUGAGUAAUGCAUCGGAACGUGCCCGAUCGUGGGGGAUAACGCAGCGAAAGCUGCGCUAAUACCGCAUACGAUCUGAGGAUGAAAGCGGGGGACCGUAAGGCCUCGCGCGAUCGGAGCGGCCGAUGUCAGAUUAGGUAGUUGGUGGGGUAAAGGCCCACCAAGCCGACGGUCUGUAGCUGGUCUGAGAGGACGACCAGCCACACUGGGACUGAGACACGGCCCAGACUCCUACGGGAGGCAGCAGUGGGGAAUUUUGGACAAUGGGCGGAAGCCUGAUCCAGCAAUGCCGCGUGCAGGAAGAAGGCCUUCGGGUUGUAAACUGCUUUUGUACGGAGCGAAAAGGUCCUUUCUAAUACAAGGGGCUCAUGACGGUACCGUAAGAAUAAGCACCGGCUAACUACGUGCCAGCCGCCGCAGUAA
rnacentral:rRNA from 1 species